UACGUAGGGUGCGAGCGUUGUCCGGAAUUAUUGGGCGUAAAGAGCUUGUAGGCGGUUUGUCGCGUCUGCUGUGAAAAUCCGGGGCUCAACCCCGGACUUGCAGUGGGUACGGGCAGACUAGAGUGUGGUAGGGGAGACUGGAAUUCCUGGUGUAGCGGUGAAAUGCGCAGAUAUCAGGAGGAACACCGAUGCGAAGGCAGGUCUCUGGGCCACUACUGACGCUGGAG
rnacentral:rRNA from 1 species